rfam:Otolemur garnettii contig117575, whole genome shotgun sequence.
GCACCUGUGGCUCAAAGGAGUAGGGCACUGGUCCCAUAUACCAGAGGUGGCGGGUUCAAACCCAGCCCUGGCCCA